rnacentral:rRNA from 1 species
GAUGAACGCUGGCGGCGUGCCUAAUACAUGCAAGUCGAGCGAACGGACGAGAAGCUUGCUUCUCUGAUGUUAGCGGCGGACGGGUGAGUAACACGUGGAUAACCUACCUAUAAGACUGGGAUAACUUCGGGAAACCGGAGCUAAUACCGGAUAAUAUUUUGAACCGCAUGGUUCAAAAGUGAAAGACGGUCUUGCUGUCACUUAUAGAUGGAUCCGCGCUGCAUUAGCUAGUUGGUAAGGUAACGGCUUACCAAGGCAACGAUGCAUAGCCGACCUGAGAGGGUGAUCGGCCACACUGGAACUGAGACACGGUCCAGACUCCUACGGGAGGCAGCAGUAGGGAAUCUUCCGCAAUGGGCGAAAGCCUGACGGAGCAACGCCGCGUGAGUGAUGAAGGUCUUCGGAUCGUAAAACUCUGUUAUUAGGGAAGAACAUAUGUGUAAGUAACUGUGCACAUCUUGACGGUACCUAAUCAGAAAGCCACGGCUAACUACGUGCCAGCAGCCGCGGUAAUACGUAGGUGGCAAGCGUUAUCCGGAAUUAUUGGGCGUAAAGCGCGCGUAGGCGGUUUUUUAAGUCUGAUGUGAAAGCCCACGGCUCAACCGUGGAGGGUCAUUGGAAACUGGAAAACUUGAGUGCAGAAGAGGAAAGUGGAAUUCCAUGUGUAGCGGUGAAAUGCGCAGAGAUAUGGAGGAACACCAGUGGCGAAGGCGACUUUCUGGUCUGUAACUGACGCUGAUGUGCGAAAGCGUGGGGAUCAAACAGGAUUAGAUACCCUGGUAGUCCACGCCGUAAACGAUGAGUGCUAAGUGUUAGGGGGUUUCCGCCCCUUAGUGCUGCAGCUAACGCAUUAAGCACUCCGCCUGGGGAGUACGACCGCAAGGUUGAAACUCAAAGGAAUUGACGGGGACCCGCACAAGCGGUGGAGCAUGUGGUUUAAUUCGAAGCAACGCGAAGAACCUUACCAAAUCUUGACAUCCUUUGACAACUCUAGAGAUAGAGCCUUCCCCUUCGGGGGACAAAGUGACAGGUGGUGCAUGGUUGUCGUCAGCUCGUGUCGUGAGAUGUUGGGUUAAGUCCCGCAACGAGCGCAACCCUUAAGCUUAGUUGCCAUCAUUAAGUUGGGCACUCUAAGUUGACUGCCGGUGACAAACCGGAGGAUGGUGGGGAUGACAUCAAAUCAUCAUGCCCCUUAUGAUUUGGGCUACACACGUGCUACAAUGGACAAUACAAAGGGCAGCGAAACCGCGAGGUCAAGCAAAUCCCAUAAAGUUGUUCUCAGUUCGGAUUGUAGUCUGCAACUCGACUACAUGAAGCUGGAAUCGCUAGUAAUCGUAGAUCAGCAUGCUACGGUGAAUACGUUCCCGGGUCU